rnacentral:lncRNA from 1 species
AGAGAUGGAGGCACCUAACCCUGAUCGGCCUAAAGUGGACUUAGAUGGGAUACUGCUUGCAGAGAGCACUGCUUGAGGGUCCCGGGCGCUGACGUGUAUGUAUAGAUAUGGGGUGCCAAUUGACCCAUAUUACUAUGAGUCAGGCGACCUUGCUGAAGGGCGUCAUCAAGAUCUCCCCAGUUUACAUUCUACCCGCUCGAUCCACUGACUGAGACCUCACACUCGGUCAUUUUCUCUAUGUUCUUAACAACAAUUUAUUUCUACGACUGUUGGGUUGUAUUGAUCUAACUAUCCUCUGUCAUUGUUCUUUCUCCUUGCCUCAUUCACUGUUCUUUCUCCUUGCUCUUAGAAACUCAAAAAUUCUGCACAACCCUAACCCAAACAGGAAAAAAAAUGAAAAAAAAUCACAC